rnacentral:rRNA from 1 species
GACGAACGCUGGCGGCGUGCCUAAUACAUGCAAGUCGAGCGGAUGGAAGGAAGCUUGCUUCCUAAAGUCAGCGGCGGACGGGUGAGUAACACGUGGGCAACCUGCCCCUAAGAUCGGGAUAACUUCGGGAAACCGGAGCUAAUACCGGAUAUGAUUAUGUCUCACAUGAGACAUAAUGGAAAGACGGUUUCGGCUGUCACUUAGGGAUGGGCCCGCGGCGCAUUAGCUAGUUGGUGAGGUAACGGCUCACCAAGGCGACGAUGCGUAGCCGACCUGAGAGGGUGAUCGGCCACACUGGGACUGAGACACGGCCCAGACUCCUACGGGAGGCAGCAGUAGGGAAUCUUCCGCAAUGGACGAAAGUCUGACGGAGCAACGCCGCGUGAGUGAGGAAGGUUUUCGGAUCGUAAAACUCUGUUGUUAGGGAAGAACAAGUACCAUAGUAACUGAUGGUACCUUGACGGUACCUAACCAGAAAGCCACGGCUAACUACGUGCCAGCCGCCGCCGUAA